rnacentral:rRNA from 1 species
AGUGAACGCUGGCGGUAGGCCUAACACAUGCAAGUCGAACGGCAGCACAGUAAGAGCUUGCUCUUACGGGUGGCGAGUGGCGGACGGGUGAGGAAUACAUCGGAAUCUACUUUUUCGUGGGGGAUAACGUAGGGAAACUUACGCUAAUACCGCAUACGACCUACGGGUGAAAGCAGGGGAUCUUCGGACCUUGCGCGAUUGAAUGAGCCGAUGUCGGAUUAGCUAGUUGGCGGGGUAAAGGCCCACCAAGGCGACGAUCCGUAGCUGGUCUGAGAGGUUGAUCAGCCACACUGGAACUGAGACACGGUCCAGACUCCUACGGGAGGCAGCAGUGGGGAAUAUUGGACAAUGGGCGCAAGCCUGAUCCAGCCAUACCGCGUGGGUGAAGAAGGCCUUCGGGUUGUAAAGCCCUUUUGUUGGGAAAGAAAAGCAGCAGGUUAAUACCCCGCUGUUCUGACGGUACCCAAAGAAUAAGCACCGGCUAACUUCGUGC